UACGAAGGGGGCUAGCGUUGUUCGGAUUUACUGGGCGUAAAGCGCGUGUAGGCGGGUCGUUUAAGUUGGGGGUGAAAUCCCGAGGCUCAACCUCGGAACUGCCUUCAAAACUGGCGACCUGGAGCAAAGAAGAGGCGAGUGGAAUUGCGAGUGUAGAGGUGAAAUUCGUAGAUAUUCGCAGGAACACCAGUGGCGAAGGCGACUCGCUGGUCUUUUGCUGACGCUGAGACGCGAAAGCGUGGGGAGCAAACAGGG
rnacentral:rRNA from 1 species